rnacentral:rRNA from 1 species
UACAGAGGGGGCAAGCGUUGUUCGGAAUUACUGGGCGUAAAGGGCGCGUAGGCGGCCCGCUAAGUCGAACGUGAAAUCCCCGAGCUCAACUCGGGAACUGCGUCCGAAACUGGCAGGCUAGAGUACUAAAGAGGAUCGGCGGAAUUCCCGGUGUAGAGGUGAAAUGCGCAGAUAUCGGGAGGAACACCGGUGGCGAAGGCGGUCUCUGGGCCUGUGGCUGACGCUGAGGAGCGAAAGCGUUGGGGAGCAAACAGGAUUGAGAGACCCCGACGUAGGUCCAG